ensembl:snoRNA C/D box small nucleolar RNA (snoRNA); guides 2'-O-methylation of large subunit (LSU) rRNA at position U2421
UCCCUUGAUGACCAAAAUAAAUUUUUACAAACUAGAGUUUCUGAAUCUUUUGUGAUUAGAACGUUUAUUCUUAUUUCUGAGGUUUUU